GUAGUUGGCAAGCGUUAUCCGGAAUUAUUGGGCGUAAAGCGCGCGUAGGCGGUUUUUUAAGUCUGAUGUGAAAGCCCACGGCUCAACCGUGGAGGGUCAUUGGAAACUGGAAAACUUGAGUGCAGAAGAGGAAAGUGGAAUUCCAUGUGUAGCGGUGAAAUGCGCAGAGAUAUGGAGGAACACCAGUGUGAAAGAAGCG
rnacentral:rRNA from 1 species